rnacentral:rRNA from 1 species
ACGCUGAAGGCGCGAAAACUUUACCAUGCGGGUUACCGUGAUAAGGGGACACCGAGUGCCAGCGUCAUACGCUGGCUGUCCAGGUGUGUAAAAUACACCUGGAAGCAAGGGCAGGGCAAGACCAGUGCCAGCCGCCGCGGUAACUUAGGCGGCCCGAGUGGUGAUAGUGAUUAUUGGGUCUAAAGGGUAAGCUGCCGGUUUGGUCAGUCCUCCGGGAAAUCAGAUAGCUCAACUAUUAGGCUUUCGGGGGAUACUGCCAGACUUGGAACCGGGAGAGGUA